rnacentral:rRNA from 1 species
AUGUCUGGGAAACUGCCUGAUGGAGGGGGAGUAACUACUGGAAACGGUAGCUAAUACCGCAUAACGUCGCAAGACCAAAGAGGGGGACCUUCGGGCCUCUUGCCAUCAGAUGUGCCCAGAUGGGAUUAGCUAGUAGGUGGGGUAACGGCUCACCUAGGCGACGAUCCCUAGCUGGUCUGAGAGGAUGACCAGCCACACUGGAACUGAGACACGGCCCAGACUCCUACGGGAGGCAGCAUG